GUGAGUCAUCGAAUCUUUGAACGCACAUUGCGCCCGCCAGUAUUCUGGCGGGCAUGCCUGUUCGAGCGUCAUUUCAACCUUCAAGCCCUGCUUGUGUUGGGGUCCUGCGGCUGCCCGCAGGCCCUGAAAACCAGUGGCGGGCUCGCUAGUCACACCGAGCGCAGUAGCACAUCUCGCUCAGGGCGUGCGGCGGGUUCUUGCCGUUAAACACCCCCCUUUCCACAGGUUGACCUCGGAUCAGGUAGGAAUACCCGCUGAACUUAAGCAUAUCAAUAAGCGGAGGA
rnacentral:misc_RNA from 1 species